rnacentral:lncRNA from 1 species
UUCAGCUGCCCACACAGGACCCCUGUAGGAGUGCUCAGUCCCUGCAGAACGGCUGACAUAGGCUCCCUGCCCUGGAGCCCGGCCACCCAUCCAUGUGGGCCCCCCCCCCCCACGACACCCAGGAUCGUGCUACAGGCCCCCAAGAUGCUGCUGCCUGGCUCCGGGCCCUGUGGCCUCCUGGGUGGUCAGGCUCCUGUGAGGGUGCCCCGUGCCCCUCUGGGGGUGCACUAGGGAGCCUGCCUAUGCCCUGUGCCCUCCUCCUGAGGGUGCCAACUCCCCACCCAGGGCCUUCUGCCCCACCUGUGGCGACUCAGCGAAGCCCUCCCUCCUCUGGGGCUAGCGCGCCUGACAUGGUCACCCACCAUCCCCAGUGAGGGGGGCCUGGCUGCAGCCUGGCAGUGCCCCGGCUGGGGCGGUGGGUGGGGGGGAGAGUGGAGAAGACACUGGGGACUGAGCACCCAUAUCCCCCACCUGAGCCACCAUGGCCACUCGGCCCUCUCCAUCCCUCCUGGGCCAGGCACACAGGGCCCCAGGAAGCACCUGCCGUUGCCCUGGGUGAAGUAGUGCAGGUGGGGGAGCUGCAUGUGCAAGGAGGCUCGAGGGCCUGGGCGCGGUGGCCUGGGCGCGGCUGGGUGACGGUCCCCCCCCAUGGUGCUGACUCGCUCACAGCAGCACUGUCCACCUCCACCCCUGCCGUCCAGCAAGGCCAGAGACUCCUGGAGGCCCCUUGGGGCCAGGGAGGCCACCCCCACUGGGCAGCCCUGCCCGAUUACAAAUGACAAUGUCACCAGCGCUGGUCAGAGGCUUUCCGGGUGCUGUGCUUCGUCGUUUGUAGCACCCGGCAGCCAGGGAAGCACGGGAGCAGGCACACAGCGUCUGGAAGGCUCUGCACACGUGCUCUUCUGCUCCUCGAAGGUCUUCGGAGGCUGCGAGCUGACUGCACAUAAACCACCACAGCCACCACGUUCCUGGGGGCACAGUCCACUUCCCUCCACGCCCGGCACACGGGGGAUGCAUCUGUGGUAA